AGGACGAACGCUGGCGGCGUGCUUAACACAUGCAAGUCGAGCGGAAAGGCCCUUCGGGGUACUCGAGCGGCGAACGGGUGAGUAACACGUGAGUAAUCUGCCCCUAGCUCUGGGAUAGCUCCGGGAAACCGGGAUUAAUACCGGAUACGACCACCUUAGACAUCUUUUGUGGUGGAAAGAAUUUCGGCUAGGGAUGAGCUCGCGGCCUAUCAGCUUGUUGGUGGGGUAACGCCUACCAAGGCUAAGACGGUAGCUGGUCUGAGAGGACGACCAGCCACACUGGGACUGAGACACGGCCCAGACACCUACGGGUGGCAGCAGUCGAGAAUUUUUCUCAAUGGGGGAAACCCUGAAGGAGCGACGCCGCGUGGAGGAUGAAGGUCUUCGGGUUGUAAACUCCUGUCAUUUGGGAACAAUGCGCAAAUAUUAACUGUAUUUGCGUUGAUAGUACCAGAAGAGGAAGGGACGGCUAACUCUAGUGCCAGCAGCCGC
rnacentral:rRNA from 1 species